CCAUUUGUCGUUGAACAAUUCUUAAUUAAUUACUGUAUUUUCGGAUCUCAAUUAUCAUUUUUAUCAUUACUAGUAAAUUAUCUUUUCUGUGGUGUAUUAUAUAUUCAGUUAACCUAUCGUUAAACAAGGAUCACUUGUUAUUUUUUGCGGAAGUAGAAAUAGAUCAGGAGCUACAAGAUAAUUUUAGCAAGUUUAGAAAAAAAAUCCAUCGAAGGCCGUUUGGACAGUGUGAAAGGUUAUACGGUGUCGUUCCAACGAUAUACCAUCGAGGGAAUUAAUUCAUGUAGAAAUCCAAGAUCCCAGAAGAAUCGAAGGGAACUUGCACAGAAAUGAUCCUUUAAAAUCAUCCAGGAAGUCAUCGACAGGUCUGGUCAUCCGGUGUGCCGAUAAUUGGCGGUCAUCU